rnacentral:rRNA from 1 species
AUGAACGCUGGCGGCGUGCCUCAUCCCUGCCAGUCGAGCGAACAGAUGAGGAGCUUGCUCCUCUGACGUUAGCGGCGGACGGGUGAGUAACACGUGGAUAACCUACCUAUAAGACUGGGAUAACUUCGGGAAACCGGCGCUAAUACCGGAUAAUAUAUUGAACCGCAUGGUUCAAUAGUGAAAGACGGUUUUGCUGUCACUUAUAGAUGGAUCCGCGCCGCAUUAGCUAGUUGGUAAGGUAACGGCUUACCAAGGCAACGAUGCGUAGCCGACCUGAGAGGGUGAUCGGCCACACUGGAACUGAGACACGGUCCAGACUCCUACGGGAGGCAGCAGUAGGGAAUCUUCCGCAAUGGGCGAAAGCCUGACGGAGCAACGCCGCGUGAGUGAUGAAGGUCUUCGGAUCGUAAAACUCUGUUAUUAGGGAAGAACAAAUGUGUAAGUAACUAUGCACGUCUUGACGGUACCUAAUCAGAAAGCCACGGCUAACUACGUG